UAUUAUGAAUAGAAAGCAUACCCUGAAUGAUAGAAGGUGUGGUGGGAACAUCGGGCUCAUCUAGGUGGUAAACAUGUUGUGACAUCUCGACUACUAAUUAAAGCACAAAGGUGUCAGAUAUAGAAACAGAUAUGAGUGCAUAUAAAAUAUAUGUAUGCAGCGGAAUAAGAUAUUACAAUCCCUUACAAAAUAAUAAUAGAGUUCUCAUUUUUACAAUACUGAGGCGAAAACAAAAUUAAUUACAAGCCUCUACAAAAGAUGGACUCAUCAGAGUAUGGGAUAUGGGACAAAACAUGCACUCAUAAUGAUUCAUGGAUCUACAGGAUCCCUAAAGGCUUCAAGGGGUAGAUCAAUGAUCAGUUCCUCACUAUCGUCCUCAUUUGAGGGGGCCAUGGAAAGG
rnacentral:lncRNA from 1 species